rnacentral:lncRNA from 10 species
CGGCUGGGGAUUUGUUGUUGUUGUUAUGGUGGUUGUAGCAAUGUCUUAAUCAGCCUUUUCCUGUCAUCAGAUGCCCGUGGAUUUAUUCAUUCAGCAGCUAUCCCCGGAGCUCCACUUGGAGCCAGGCACCAGGCAGGGGGCUCAGGUCCCGGAAGUGCCCACAACAGGCAGCUCCCUGCUCCCCUCAUUCCAGUCCUUCCAGAGCCUCCCUGAGACCUGCCUCUCCUGAGCUUACUCCUCCAGCCUCCUGUUGGUUCAGAGAGCCCCUGUGCUCCUUCUAGUACAUUCCCCUCUGCUUAUGUCAGCCAGGGCUGACUUGGCUGCUGACGAUGAGGGAGGCCUGGCUAAUUCCAGGCCAUGGUGGGCUUGAACCUUACGCUUCUCUGUCUCCCAUGCCUGGGCUCUUCCUGCCAUCAUCCUCCCUCCUGGUACCCACAGUCAUCUCUAUGCCUGAGCCCUGUAGACCUCAAGGCUGACCUUGGUGGGACCAACCAAGUCACAGGAUUUGUCUGAGAAGAACCGGGGUAUGAAGAGUUUUGUGGGUUUGAGAUGCCAUAAAACUGUCCAACAACAAUGACUUCCAAACUACCUCCCUCUGAGCUGUGGUGUCUGCAGAGAUCCCUCAUGGGCUGUCAGGAUUUGAGAGUGCGUUGGGGCAGUUGAGUACAAGGGCUCACUCCCUUCCCUACCCCCACACCUAUUUUAACCAGAGUGGCUUUACCUAGCACAGUAUUCAAGAGGCAUGCCCUCUGGGACCACGCUGCCUGGGUUUGGAUCCCAUCUCCACCACGCAUGAGCUAUAUGACCUUGGAUAAGUCACUUAUCACUCUGUACCUCAGUUUCCUCAUCGGUAACACGAGAAUGGAGAGACCUCAGAAUGGUGCAGUGACGAUUCUAGGAACGUAUGCUACCUAAGGCUUCAAAAGUGCUGGCCUGUGAUGAGUCUUCAACACACGAGAACUACUGUUACUCUUGCUUUUCCUAGUGGGUUUCAGCGGAAUAUUCCAUAAGAAAAAAGAAGGGUCUUUUUUGUUGUUUAAGAAAUGUCUGGGAAUCUGCCCCCCGGUGCCCUCUUGGGCAUGACCCCCUAGACCCACCUGGCGCUGGUGUCUUCCUCCAGCACAACGCUCCUCUGUGGGAUAAUUCCCAGCUCGAAAAAGCCACUCGACAUUUCUGUGAGAAGUCACUCCUUGCUGAUGUUCUCACUCCAGGCCAUUUCAGGGCGUCUGGCCUUGUGGCCAACGUGGAGAAGCAGGUGGCAGCUGCCCCAGCUCUGGUGCUGAGCUCCCUGGGCAGCGAGAUUCUGUUCUGCCCUGCAAGAUGGACCUUUUACACAGGCAUUUGGGCAACUGAGGGCUUUGUUGGGCCCAGCUUCUCAACACAUCAAAAAAGUUUUCUGGCUGAUGUCGCUGGUGUGGGGUGGGAGUAGA